UUGAGUGCAGGAGGGGAAAGCGGAAUUCCCAGUGUAGCGGUGAAAUGCGUAGAUAUUGGGAAGAACACCGGUGGCGAAGGCGGCUUUCUGGACUGUAACUGACACUGAGGCACGAAAGCGUGGGGAGCAAACAGGAUUAGAUACCCUGGUAGUCCACGCCGUAAACGAUGAGCACUAGUUGUUGGGUACGAAUGUAUUCAGUGACGCAGUUAACGCAAUAAGUGCUCCGCCUGGGGAGUACGGUGGCAACACUAAAACUCAAAGGAAUUGACGGGGACCCGCACAAGCAGCGGAGCAUGUGGUUUAAUUCGAAGCAACGCGAAAAACCUUACCAGGGCUUGACAUCCCUCUGACCGGAUCCUAACCGAUCCUUUCUUCGGACAGAGGUGACAGGUGGUGCAUGGUUGUCGUCAGCUCGUGUCGUGAGAUGUUGGGUUAAGUCCCGCAACGAGCGCAACCCUUGUCGUCAGUUACUAACAUUAAGUUGAGGACUCUGACGAGACUGCCGAGGUCAACUCGGAGGAAGGUGGGGAUGACGUCAAAUCAUCAUGCCCCUUAUGUUCUGGGCUACACACGUGCUACAAUGGUCGGUACAAUGAGACGCAAUACAGUGAUGUGGAGCAAAUCACCAAAACCGAUCCCAGUUCGGAUUGCAGGCUGCAACUCGCCUGCAUGAAGUCGGAGUUGCUAGUAAUCGCGAAUCAGCAUGUCGCGGUGAAUGCGUUCCCGGGUCUUGUACACACCGCCCGUCACACCAUGGAAGUUGGGGGCGCCCAAAGUUGGCUAAUAAAUCUGCUACCUAAGGCGAAACCAAUGACUGGGGUGAAGUCGUAACAAGGUAACCGUA
rnacentral:rRNA from 1 species